rnacentral:tRNA from 1 species
GCGCCUGUAGUUCAAUGGUAGAACAAUAGCCUUCCAAGCUAUGAGCGUCAGUUCGAUUCUGACCAGGCGCU